GUCCAUCCCGACGCAGAGAGGGAGCGUAGAGAGAGAGCACAACGGCGGCGGCGGGGGAGGGGAAGAGAAGCAACGGAAGGGAGCGCGGCGGCGGGAGGCUCUUCGUUGUGCCGGUGAUGACGAGGCGCAGCCCGGCUCGAACGGUGGCGGCGGCGAGAGGGGCAGCACGAGCAAGGAGUGGUGGCCGGGAGCCCAACACCUCCCCGUUGCCCAUCGCCACCUUCUCCUCUAGCUGGUGGUUGACGACGGCGGGCAGGAGGACGAAGCGGUAGUUGCCCUCCUCCUGGCCUCGCACAGGAGUUCAAGCACGAGGAGGCCCUUCUCCCGUUUGGCUCUCUGCUCGUGCGCUACGCAACGAGAAGACCACCCGAAGACUGCUAAACUUAGAGUCUCGGUCCGUUCACACCCUUGUUCCUCUACUCAAAGCACCUCUGCCACUCGUCCUGCCUCUGUUCCUACCGCUGAACUACGAGGAACCUCUGCAGGAGACCUCCACUAAAAAAAGACCCGGAAAACAAAUGAUAUAUAGUUAACCUAGGCGUACGUCGACGAUAAGCACAACAACAAGUCGAUACAGUACAACAAAUCCAAGUAUAUAUGUGAUGAAUUAAUCCAAGUACUCUACCAAGUGACAACCUGACCCACGGUACCCUAGAGUCCAAUACCUUAAACCCCACAAAACCAACAGACUACGAAAAUCAAAGUUGAAUUGAAACGAAAUCUUUGCCAGUUGACCUGUAUUGUUGACAAACAUAUAAUCACUUUAUAUGCCUCACCCCUAGAGAAACAAUAACACCGUCGACAACCUAACCCACAAUACCGUAGACCACUAGCCUACGUCAAUCAGAACCGAACAAAAACGAACUAUUCACUGACUAAACCCAAACUACCUAUCAAAAUGAUAACCGUCAUAUAUGCCUUACACCUAGAGACCCAACAGUAGAGUCCAAGUCUACAAAACCUACAAACCAACUAGACUGCGACAAUCAAAGCCGAAUAGAAACGAGGUUUUUAACCGUCAUAUAUUGCGGGAGUGGGGACGAAUAGAGCGGAUUGAGUAAGGAAGAAAUAACGUGAGCUCCUAGCAACCACGCACGAGGGGGACAAUGUGCCGCGAAUCCUCUUCCUCUCCGAACCAGAGGUGGUUUUUUUCUGCUCCUUCUUCACUCUACGACGAUCGGGGAACCGGACGACGUAGAGGUUAGCCGCGAACGUUGUCCUCUUGGUGUAGGGACCGGAGAGGUACGGGGGGGGGGAGGGGGGGUUCGCGGUUGGACAUCCGAUGUUGCUGUUCCACUCCGCCCGGGGAUGAGUCUUUUUUGUCCAAGUCCUCCACAAAUAGGAUAUAUACUAAGUCAUUGAACGUGAGAUUAGAGUAAACAGAAGAAGAGUAACCCGUACCACAGAAAUCCAAUAGUUUCCCUUAACUUAUACCGACAACUGUUAAGUCUAACACCCGUCGAUUCUCAAAUCUUAAUGAGUACAUUUAAAAACGAAUAUUUAUUAUAUUACUGCGUCAUCAUCGGGGAGGAUAGAAAACAGUUGUUACCACACUAUGAUUCUAAAAGUGACGUCAUCGUAGGCAUAGGUUACAUUGAGCCGAUAUCCAAUAGGUUUCAUUACUACAGAUAAUGAGACCAACUAAACGUUAUACCACAACACCUGGGUACACGUGGACUCGAAACGAUGAAAGAGAUUAAUGGUACUUUAAACAUGUGUACUCGUAAGGAUACGGUAACAGUUCACGAUGAGGUUUGUGGUAAAUGACGAAAUUUUAUAGAGAGUUGAACCUAUCUCGUAGGACUUUCCAGUUCUAAACGAGUUGUACUAAAAAAAAUGAUACUCCUCGGAAUGAAGAUCGUGACCCAAAACUAACAGACAACAAAACAUGUAGAAAAUAGAUAUACUAAAAUUAGAAUUCUUUCUCGUAUAAGACCUGAGUGUUGUUUAACCUAUCUCGUAGGACGUUCCAGAGACUACACGUCUACUAUAAAGUCACGAGCUACACGUCGAAUAAAACAGCUGUAGCGCCAAUGUCAAACGUUAUAAUCUGGAUGAACAUAGUUCCCCUUUUAAGAUUAAAGAAAUGUCGCCACAAACUUGUUUUACCGUAUAAGGCACCCGACCUAUUCGAGUCACUAUAGUCAGGGGAAAAUUUAACUUGUUUUACCGUAUAACGACCCCACACCUACCCUAUAAAGCAACCAGUAUAUAUUCAACCAGUAUCAGGGGAAAGGUUUAGACGUCUUUUACCGUAUAAGGCAACCAGUAUCAGGAGAAAACGUCUUUUAAGAUUAAAGAAAUGGUGCCACAAACUUGUUAUCAAUUCGAGUCACUACUGAAUGGUAUAUUAAUCCAACACAGGGAAUCGUCUACAGUGUGUACAGGGAAAACAACAUAGGUACUCACGUUAGAAACGUCGAUUUCGGAAGUACUACCAAGGGCGUACAAGGUACGUUUACAAACCGUUACUCAUGAGAACUAUAAACAUUUAUAUUAUACCUCAACUCGUACUUUCCUACGUAAUCUAGUGAUAUUAAAUGUUACAAUAUUGGUAACGAUGUUUUUCGUAAUAAAAGCGAAUGAACAUCAAAGAUCAAAUUUAGAAAGUGAGGAUG
rnacentral:rRNA from 1 species